UGGGUGACGACCGGCGCACGGGUGAGUAACGCGUAUGCAACCUGCCUAUAAGAGGGGGAUAGCCUUUCGAAAGAAAGAUUAAUACCGCAUAAUACUGUUGACCUGCAUGGGUUGACAGUUAAACUAUUUGGCUUAUAGAUGGGCAUGCGUUCCAUUAGAUAGUUGGUGAGGUAACGGCUCACCAAGUCAGCGAUGGAUAGGGGUUCUGAGAGGAAGGUCCCCCACACUGGUACUGAGACACGGACCAGACUCCUACGGGAGGCAGCAGUGAGGAAUAUUGGUCAAUGGGCGAGAGCCUGAACCAGCCAAGUCGCGUGAAGGAUGAAGGUCUUAUGGAUUGUAAACUUCUUUUAUAAGGGAAUAAAAAAGAUCACGUGUGGUUUAUUGCAUGUACCUUAUGAAUAAGCAUCGGCUAACUCCGUGCCAGCAGCCGCGGUAAUACGGAGGAUGCGAGCGUUAUCCGGAUUUAUUGGGUUUAAAGGGUGCGUAGGCGGUUUAUUAAGUCAGUGGUGAAAGUUUUCGGCUCAACCGGAAAAUUGCCAUUGAAACUGAUAGACUUGAGUGUAAACGAGGUA
rnacentral:rRNA from 1 species